UGGGAAAGCCGGGUCGUACCUAAAAGUCGGUAACCGUAAACGGAGCGCCUAGGUAAACGUAGUGACUGGGGCU
rnacentral:rRNA from 1 species